UCUCUGGGGAAGUUUCAUGAAGGCUCAGGUCUGAGUUGGGGGACACCAGAGAGUGUCCCAGCGAAAUGGACUGUAGUCGUUCCGUUGCCUGCCAGAACAAAUUACCACAACUUUGGCAGUUUAGAGCAGUAGACAUUCUUUCAUUGUUCUGGAAGCCAAGUCUGGAAUCAAGGUGUUGGCAGGGCUGUCCUCCUCCCACAAGUUCAAGGGAAGAAGCCUUCCUUUUUCUUUUCCAGCUUCUGGUGGCUCCAGGCAUUCCUUGGCUUGUGGCUCCAUCACUCCAGCCUCAGCCUCUGUCUCUCUAUCGUCCUCUCCUCGUCUCACUUCUCUGUCUAAGAAGGGUGUUUAUCAUUGGACUUAGGGCUCACUCAGAUCAUCCAGGACGAUCUCGUCUCACGAUCCUUAAUUCCAUCUGCAAAGACCCUUUUUUCCAAAUAAGGUCACAUUCAUAGGUUUCAGAAGUUAGGGCAUGGACACAUUCUUUUGGGGGAAACCACCCAGCCCACUACAGGGCCAAGUCCCCGGGGUUCUCUGCCCUGAAAUCUCAGCGUGGCCCAUCUCUGCGUCACUCCCUUGACAUGCCAAAUGCCAUUCCUAUUGCCAUCUUCAGAUUUGGAACAGUUUUGUGCCUCCAGAGUAUACACUGAUGGAGACGAGGACUUUGUCUCUGCUAGUUUUCAUCCCACCCCCACCUCUAGCAUCUAAUACAUGGACUCGAAACACUUGAACUCAGCUGCAGAUUCACCAUCAUGUCCACUGCAACUAUUUGAGGACAAAGGAAAGGAAAUGACAGUUUGAAUCUAAAAUCAAUAAAGUGUCAUAAAUGAAUGAGAUUGCCCAUCUGUGGGAAUCUUUUUGGAAGGAAAUGAUCUGGAUGGGUGUGUCCGAUACGAUUCGGGAGCUCUUAGCUCCCAGCCAGGGACCUCAGGUGCUCCCCCUGCCCCUCACCCCCAAAAGACGGCGUCAGUUUAGAAUGUGACUAAUGAAAGAUAGGCUGUCAUCUUGGAAAUAGUGACAUGUCUAUCUUGAGGGUAUGUUGUAAUGACACAAAUCGUCGGUGGCUGUUAAAGAACAUUGAAAAGGCAAGUGUUUGGGAAGAAUCUGUGAUUGCUAAUCUGUCACUGUCAGAAACACAGAGACGCUGUGUGGCAGACGUGAGUUUUCCAUUCACGUUAAAGCUGCACUACCUAGAGGACUCGGGAGAGCAUCCAGAACAUCGGCCAGGUUUCUUUGUUUGGGGUGGCAUCCUUCUGGCAGCAAGUCGGUGUCCCAGGUAACGUGGCAGCUGAAGGUGAGGGGGCAGGGGCAGAGGGAGGGCUGUGCCCUGAGCAGUAGGCAUGAGUGUGCCCAUCACCAGUAAGGUGCGCUUUCCAUCUAAACUAAGUUGGCCCUCAUGGUGGUGUCUUGUGAAUUUGGCAAGGAUCAGCUGCUGGCGUGUGAUGGACCCUCAGGAGAGCAAAGUGAGCAGAAUUGGCCGCACUGGGGACCAGAUUCUCAUCUCUUGAUUGUCCCUCUCGGAGGAGGCCUGGCUCCAGGCGUCCCACCUCCUCCUACCUACCCCUAAGGUUUGCAGUUCAGGAGGGUGAGGGGGUGUGAGGCAGGGCGGGAGGAAGUAGCAGCCCUCAGGAAGGGUCUGGCUGUGGCCACAGACAUGGCUGCUAUAAGCAGGCAUCGAGUGGGGCAGAAGGAAAGAGAGGGCAUCAGGAAGAUGGACACAGUGUUUUAAAUAGAAGGAUGUGUGGAGCUAAGGUUUCUGAUGUUGCUUAAAUGACAGUACAUUCCUUCCUUAAAAGCACGGACGUCAUCUGCAGAAAAAUCCAGACCAGAACAAGAUUGCAACACAGAUGCCAGACUCACAAAUAAGCAUAGAAGACAACAUGAGCCCAAGGAUCUCUGAAAUUUUCUUACAGAAUCUUAGUUGCCUUAGCUCCAUUGGGCCCACAGCAAUAAGGAAAAUGCUCUUGGAUUUAUAGUUAUAUUUCAUCUACUUAAAAAGCCUGGGGAGAAAUGUAAGGAGAAGGAAGGAAGACGCACUUGGCUCCAUCACAAGCCACUCUGCUUUGAAGCAGAUGCACAUUCGAUUGCAGAUUUUGUUUUUUCCCCCAAUUAGUUUCCAAAUGAGUAACUCACAAUUUCCAUUUGCAUGGUUCAUUUUGUUUCCCAGUGAAGUAAAUGAUUAUUUCUUGGUUCAAAGAAAGUCUUUUCAAGGACACCAGAGACCAAUAGCAUUCUCAUCCAUUAAAAAUGAAAAACUUUUGCUUACAGUAGUAAAACCAAACCUUUCAAAUUGAGAUUCCAAGUCAUUUGCCUUUUCUCUCCUGGCGGCAGCCCUGGCGUGUAUUGGUGGAUCAUGUGCAUCUCAGGAAAACAGGUGAGGCAUCCAUGAGCCCUCCCAUUUCUGGAUACAUAUGGCCCAUGGGCUGUCACCCCACAGUCCUGUGAGGGGGGUCUGGUGUGCCGAGCUCUGCUCAACAAGGAAGGAGCUGGGCUGGUUGGAUGCCCACUCUCUGGAACUCGGUUGGGGAAAUAGGGAGAUAAUUGGGCAGUCAGUAGUGGACUCUGAAGCGGAUGAGAAAUACGAUAGAAAGAGGCUGAUAUGAGGGCCAUGAUGGGCUUUGAGUAAGUAAGCCAAAGUUGCAGAUAAAAGUUAUUAUAUAGAAAAAAAAUCUAUACAGGUUGGAAGAUAAGAAAGCUGGUUGGAAGGUGGAAAAAGCAGCGUGUGAAGCAGAGUUGAAUUAUGUUAGGGGCAAAGAAUUAGCCUGAAGAUGCAUGAGGAGCUGGAGGAAGCCACGACUUUCAUCCCAGAUCAUCUUCCAUAUGUAGACAUCAAGAAGUCCUCUGCCCAAGGUCUCAUCACUUUUCUUGGUCGCCUGGCUGGAUUCCCACCCUGCUAGUUCCAUGCAUGUUAAAGAGCUGUGCAUGUAAGGUUGCCCCUUGGGCUCCGAUGUUCUUGGUAUUUGUUCAUUUGUAACCAAGAGUGGGAUUUAUUGGCUCAGGUGCCCAGUGCGUCCAUGGGUGGGGCGGGCUUCCUUGGGAGUUUUCGAGGUGAGUAGGACCUGCUGCUCCAUCUCUCCUCUCAUCCCUCCCCUGGGACCUCCUUUGUUGGCUGCUUUUAUCCUCACCCGGGCCCCUCUUGUGAUAGCAGAGGGGCUACCCGGAGUUCUUGGGGCGGCGUGAGGGGAUUUCCCUUUCCUCCAACUGCUGUAACCAGUCCCUGGAGCUCACUCGCAUUUGCCAGCUCGGGUCCUGACCCAGUACCUGUGACUGGGGUUGGGCCAGUCUCACCUCUGCUCCGGGGGAAAUGGGAUAACUGCUGUCUUCACUCCACCCCCAUUCGUCUCAGGCUCUUACUGACUUAAAACCAUCAGUGGAUUCCAUGGCAAUGACAGUAAGUAUAAAGUUCUUCCUCUUGUCCUUGCAUGAUCUGACCCAUGCCUGUUUCCCUGACCACCUCUUGACCCUUCUCCUUCCCUUUGCAUUCCAUCCACACUGAGUUUUCAAUUCCUCAAAAGUCUGAAGUCGGGACGCCUGGGUGGCUCAGUCGGUUAAGCGUCUGCCUUCGGCUCAGGUCAUGAUCCCAGGGUCCUGGGAUCAAGUCCCGCAUCGGGCUCCUUGCUUAGUGAGGAGCCUGCUUCUCCCUCUGCCUGCCACUCCCGCUGCUUGUGCUUUCUCUCUCUCUCUCUAAUAAAUCAAUAAAAUCUUUAAAAAAAAAAAAAGGUCUGAAGUCUUUCCCACCUUAAGGGCAUCACAUAAAUCACUGGGUCAUGGUCUGCUUGGAACUUUCUUUACGCACUUCGCAUCUAGCUAUCAGUGACAUAAACUUAUAAUUUAAAACAAGCGCAGUGUCUCAAAGGAAAAGUAGAUAGAGGGAAAAUAGGGUGGAGGGGAUCUAAUUUAGGUUGGAGAGGGGCAGGAAGGAGUGUUCAGAAAAGGCCUUCUAAGCUGAUAAAUGAAGGCUGAGUGCCUCUCAUUUGUUUCAUACCUGAUUCUCCUGCUAGACAGAGCCAUGUGACGGCAAGGACCAUCCUCAGUUGGUUCACGCAUUCCGUGUGGUGCACACAACAGUGCUGGCCUGGUGGAUACGCAGAUUGCCUAAUAUUCCCAACACCUCACGAGACGAGUUUCUAAGACAGAGUGCAUCAUGGCGCCUCCCCUGCUCAUGAAUGUGGACUAGAAGACUGCGCGUGACUUCCCGACAAGCCUCUCUGCUGACCAGUAAUAUUUCUGCAGCUUGGAGCUUGUCAAUCUUUUGGGUUUCAGCUGUGUCUUCACAAGUGUGGUUCCUGUCCAUCCCAUGUCUGACACUGUUUUCUCUGUGCCCUUGGGAUCCCAGGAACCUCAGCUAGCCAGUUGUCCAGAAAAUUCUCAAGUUUGGGGCCAAGGUUCCUGGGAACCACAAAGUCCCUUUUUGCCUUGGCGUCUUUGAAGCUGACCUCUGCAAGUUCUCAGCUUGGGUCCUGGAGUGAACGGGAGACAGUUGACUACUAAACAGAUCCGCUUGGAGUCAUGUUCAAAAGUGUGAAGAGAGUUGGUGAGUGUGCUCCUUGAUCUUCCCUCCUGAGAGCCUGUUGGGUGUGGCUGGCUUUGAAAUAUCCUUGGGAAUCCGUGGUGACAACAAGGGAAAGGAUUUCUGCCUUUGUUCAUGGUGGGAAUGAGCCUCUGGGAGCAUAACGAAGAGUCCCCAGAAUGGCCUUGUGAAGCUCUCUGUGAAGAAGGAUCCUGGAUGUGGUAAUGUUCUCUAGAAGCAGUAUAGGAGGGAUCAAAGCUCUCUGUGGGUGUAAAGUGAUCGCGUCCCAGUACCCAGCAUGGUGUUCCUAAGGAAAUAAUAACAGCAGCGUGAGCUUCAUGAACACCUGCUAUGUGCCAGGUGCUCUUCUAACCACGUCACAUGUAAUUACGUCAUUUAAUUGUCACACCAGGUCUAUCAAGUAGGCACCCUUAUCACCUCCGCUUUAUGGAUGGUGAAAAUGAAGCACAGAGAACUGAACUACAUACGCAAGGUUACGACGGUAGCUUGUCCCAUGAUGCCUUGACUCUCUCCUGGUCGCUGUGACUCGCUCUUGACCAACAAAUAUGGCCCAAGGGAGGUCACAUGAACUCCAGGGAUAGUUCAUAAGUAGCCUUACAGAUUCUACUCAGUUUUGGGGGAACACUUGCUCCUUGGAUCUCCCUUUUGGAACCAUGAAAACUAAUGAGAAAUUAUUAUUUUUUAAAUUAUGAAGUUUUAGGGUGGUUUAUUAUACAACAAUAGAUAACCAGAACACUUAUAGGGCAGAUAAAUGGCAGAGCUGGGUUUGAAACCUAGGCAACUUCGGUCUAGACCCCUUGCUCUCAACCAGUAUUCUAUAUAGAGUGACCCUCCAGUGCUUUUUGUUGUUACUGUCCUGGUGAUGAUGAUGAUGAUCCCAGAUGCAUUGUCCCCAAACAGGCAGGCAUGCAUAUCUGUAAGUGAACAUAGUGGACUUGUAGAGAAAACACACAGACACACACACAUAUAGUGGAAUGCAUUAUGCAUGGGAUUUUGAAUCAGGUGGACAUGAGUUUGAACCUCAGCUUCACCACCUUCUAGUUUUGUGACCUUGGACAUGUUACCACCAGUUGGGGUCUGAUGAUGGUGAGGGUCAGGUCCUCAAGUCAGAGCAUACAGUCAGUUACCCCUGAAAGCUCUUCACAUUCUGUUAGCACAAACUCAGGUGUCUUUGCGUGGCCACAUACUCCUUAACGUCAAAUCUUUUUUUUAUUCUUAUGUUAAUCCCCAUACAUUACAUCAUUAGUUUUAGAUGAAAUGUUCCAUGAUUCAUUGUUUGUGCAUAACACCCAGUGCUCCAUGCAGAAUGUGCCCUCCUCAAUACCCACCACCAGGCUAACCCA